GGAUGAAGAACGCAGUGAAACGCGAUAGUUAAUGUGAAUUGCAGAAUUCAGUGAAUCAUCGAGUCUUUGAACGCACAUUGCGCCCCCUGGUAUUCCGGGGGGCAUGCCUGUCCGAGCGUCAUUGCUGCCCAUCAAGCGCGGCUUGUGUGUUGGGCCGCCGUCCGCCUUCCCCCCCGGGGGGAGGGGGACGGGCCCGAAAGGCAGCGGCGGCACCGCGUCCGGUCCUCGAGCGUAUGGGGCUCUGUCACCCGCUCUGGAGGCCCGGCCGGCGCCCGCCGACCCCCAACCUUCUUCUAACCAGGUUGACCUCGGAUCAGGUAGGGAUACCCGCUGAACUUAAGCAUAUCAAUAAGCGGAGGA
rnacentral:misc_RNA from 1 species